AACCAUAGAGUCACCAUAGAAUGUAGAAAAUAACAUUUUUUUUUUUAAUUGUGACGCUGAAGUCUUCUUGUUCUUAUGAUCUUGAACAAAAUAAUAUUUCUUUGAUGUUUGUUUUGUGAAUCUUGCAAAUUUUUGGUCUUCUAUAAUUAGUAAAUAGGGACUCUGGUUAUGCUCUACGGCCAUGGAUGUUAACACCUAUCCUCUAUGCAGCUGUAGGAUCCCCAGAAGAACACUACACUGAUCUACAUUGCCGUGUCAGAAAUACUGUGGAGCGGUGCAUUGGGGCCCUUAAAACACGCUGGAGAUGUUUGCUGGCACACCGUGUGCUUCACUAUGAGCCCACCAAAGCUGCGAAAAUAGUAAAUGACUGCUGUAUACUACACAAUAUAGCAAAUGCACACAAUAUACCAGUGACGACAACUUGCCUGCUGCUGGUAACAUUCGGGUGCAGCAUAUUGGUAACGUGGCUUAUGGUGCUGCUGAUGCAGAUGCAGGGCGCAUGAGGGCCAACC